AACGAACGCUGGCGGUAUGCUUAACACAUGCAAGUCGAGCGAGAAAAUGGCUUCGGCCAUGAGUAGAGCGGCGGACGGGUGAGUAAUACAUGGAUAAUCUGCCUUUAGGACCGGGACAACCCAGGGAAACUUGGGCUAAUACCGGAUAAGACCACAGAAUCUCCGGAUUCAGCGGUAAAAGGUGGCUUCGGCUAUCACCUAUUGAUGAGUCCAUGUCCCAUCAGGUAGUUGGUGAGGUAACGGCCCACCAAGCCAAAGACGGGUAGCCGACCUUAGCGGGUGAUCGGCCACACGGGGACUGAGACACGGCCCCGACUCCUACGGGAGGCAGCAGUGGGGAAUAUUGGACAAUGGGCGCAAGCCUGAUCCAGCAAUACCGCGUGAGGGAUGAAGGCUUUCGAGUCGUAAACCUCUGUCAGUUGGAACGAUGGGUCUGUAGGUUAAUACCCUGCAGACUUGACGGUACCUUCAAAGGAAGCCCGGCUAACUCCGUGCCAGCAGCCGCAGU
rnacentral:rRNA from 1 species